rnacentral:rRNA from 1 species
CAGCAAUGCCGCGUGAGUGAUGAAGGCCUUAGGGUUGUAAAGCUCUUUUACCCGGGAUGAUAAUGACAGUACCGGGAGAAUAAGCUCCGGCUAACUCCGUGCCAGCAGCCGCGGUAAUACGGAGGGAGCUAGCGUUAUUCGGAAUUACUGGGCGUAAAGCGCACGUAGGCGGCUUUGUAAGUUAGAGGUGAAAGCCUGGAGCUCAACUCCAGAAUUGCCUUUAAGACUGCAUCGCUUGAAUCCAGGAGAGGUGAGUGGAAUUCCGAGUGUAGAGGUGAAAUUCGUAGAUAUUCGGAAGAACACCAGUGGCG